rnacentral:misc_RNA from 1 species
AUUGUUCUAAUGAAAAGAGGCCAUAAAUGUGUUCCCCUUGAGCCUUCAUCCCGAGCUUGUACCAUCUUGCAAUUUGAUGCAUCAUUAGUUGAUUGAGAAUUGGUCUGGACAGUACUUUCAGAUGGAUUUAAGAAAUCAAAGUGGGCCUCACUACAAAGGGAAUGUAAAUGAUAUGACCGGUUUCUUUCAAACAAUAAAAUAAGGUUGUUCCAUGCAUCAGGGAAAGGCUCCCUAACUGCCAAACUUCUUAUGCAGUGGUACAAAGCUAGGAACUCGUCACCAACAUAUGUUGCCAACAC